rnacentral:rRNA from 1 species
AAUGAACGUUGGCGGCGUGGAUUAGGCAUGCAAGUCGAGCGAGAACCGUAGCAAUACGGGGACAGCGGCGAAAGGGACAGUAAUGUGUAGGUACCUACCCCCGGGUUCGGGAUAGCUGCGGGAAACUGCAGGUAAUACCGAAUAAUGUCUUCGGACCAUAGGUGUGCUUGGACCUGGGGAGGGGCCUGCAUCCUAUUAGCUUGUUGGUGGGGUAACGGCUUACCAAGGCGACGCUGGGUAGCGGGUGUGAGAGCAUGACCCGCGUCAUUGGGACUGAGACACUGCCCAGACACCUACGGGUGGCUGCAGUCGAGGAUCUUCGGCAAUGGGCGCAAGCCUGACCGAGCGACGCCGCGUGCGGGAUGAAGGCCUUCGGGUUGUAAACCGCUGUCGUAGAGGAGGAAAUGCAGGAGGGUUCUCCCUUCUGUUUGACCUAUUCUAGGAGGAAGUACGGGCUAAGUUCGUGCCAGCCGCCGCAGUAA